GUGAACUGUGACAGUAUCACCACUGUGUGUGUUGUGCUGGCGAUGAAAUCUAGAGAGAACCACGGCUCAGAAAGAUGAAUGAACUUUCCCAGGGUUGCACAGCAAGCUCAUCAGAUCAGCGUACAUCACAGGGCUCUCAACCGUUCUGAAGGGCAGCCUUCCUGUGCCUCCCCCAGCAUCACAGCAGAUGGUGAGCCCAGCUACCAACAGCCCCAGCUCAACGCAUUUGCUCAGGAAAGAAGCACUGGUUCAGGGAUCUGAAGACCGGGAUUUUGUCUCUUUGUGACCUUGGGCUACCUUCCCACAUCAGAGACGGCCUUACCCUGCUUCCUGUGGGUCCUGGAUAGAGAACAAGCAUGUGUAAGAACCCCUGCCCCCCUGUGCGUGUGCAUGUUCAGGCAUGUCUGUCUGAGUUGUGCAUACCCUACCCCUUCUAUUCAGUUUUCUGAGGCAAUGUGUAAUGUAGCUCAGACCUGUCUCACAUUCGGGAGGUGACUUGAAGGUCCUGACCUCCCUACUUCUGCCUCUUGUUUAUCUUUGUAAUUGUGGGGAUGGAACCCCAGACAUUGCCAAUGUUCUCUUCCUGAACCCCAUCCUGGCCCCAGCCAAUAUACCUCAUUUGGAGACAAAGGUCAUACUAUAC